CGGCGGCGGGCGAGCGGGCGGCGGCGGCGGCGGCGGCGGCGGCGGCUCUCUUCACUGUCGGUAGGUAGAGCUCGCGCUCUCGCACUUAGCUCUUUCCUUUAACAGCCCAGGCGAAUUCCUCAGACUCCCGGCGGUGGCGGCGCUUACACGCGAUUCGCGUUCAUCAAUCCACGACAUGAAGACAGGCGAGAGGGAGAGGGAGAGAGAGGGAGAGAGAGAGGGAGAGAGAGAGGGAGAGAGAGAGAGAGAGAGAGAGAGAAGGAAGGGAUAGAGGGCGGGGGGUAGAGGGGUUCAGGGCUGGGGGGGACCUGGAAGAAGGGGAGGGGAGGAAGGGGGAGGGAUGGGGGUGUGGUAUAUGUGCGUGGUGGGGGGGGAGAGCCAGCCCCAGCUAAUGGCAAGGGCCAGCUUUUCCAAGGUGCGCAUUCAGAUUUGAAGGUGCCUCUCCCCCCCUUCUCUUUUCCUUCCUCGGAGCCAGAGAGCGCGAGGGAUCCCUGAGCAAGCAGGUCAACUCAGGUUACCUCAACAGGUAUAAGACCCCCGAGGGGGUCUGGAUGUCAACAAGAGAGAGCAGGUAUCCUAACCCCCAAAAGAUGGGCUCCCCAGGGGGGUCCUUACAUCCGGGGACUUUGAGGAGGAACAAGCACAGUGUCUCCCCAAACACUUGAGGCAGCACAGCCCCCCUGUCUCCUGCCCCUCCCCAGGUGGGAAGCUGCCAGAUCUUCCCUAGGCCAUUACGGUUCCCCUGCCUGCCUGCUGUGGACAGUGGUGAGGGCCAGGGGCUGGGGGCACUCCUUAGACCCAGUCAGGCUUCACUGCCCCUUCAGACACCAGCUCCUGCCUGAGACAGGAAGCCCAGGCAAUAGUCACGAGCUUGCCUGGAGGCUCUGAGAGCAAAGCUGCUUGUGGGGACAGAGAAGGAGAGGGCAGCUGGUGGGUUCCUGGCCUUCUGUUUGGGCUGCUCCCGGAGGUUUCUUCUUAGGAGACAACGGGUAUCUGGGUUGGAGGAGACCAGAGCAGGCCUCUGACUUGUCCCUGCAUACCCUAACCCCAUAGGAAAUGCCAGUUUGGCCUGGAGGGGCUCUCUGGCUUCACCGCACCCCCUCCACUUCCCCAGGCAGACUGCCCAGGCCAGGAUGUGGAUGGGAACUGUCAACAGACACUCUUUAAAUAUUUACACACACUUUCUCUGGGGGGUUUCCCCCAUCCUAGAGCCUGGGUAAAUUCAAGUUAAUUCUAAGGCAUAAAAGAACCUUAUUCCAUCAGCACCCUUCUCUGGCCACAACUGUGUACAGUUGUGUGGACUUAACACAGAGAGAAAAGGGAGAAGGUCAGAGAGCUGUGGAUAUGUGUGCUGUGUGCAGAUGAAUGAAGAAGAGGAGUAAGAAUGAUUUUUCCAGUCCUCCGCUCCACAGUGGAGUGAGGUUGCUACACUCAGGGCAACACAGGAGCACACUCGGGAUCCAUACAUGCCGUGCUACCUUCCACGCUGAGAAACAUUCAGUGCACGCUCAGGAAACUGUCAUGCAUGCUGGAAGCACCCCUGUCACCUCACAGACACUGUACACACCCAAGCACAUGCAAAAAUAAAAUGCGAUAAACACAUAUGCAUCUUUAGAUCUUUGCAUCAGGAGAAAAAAAAAAUGUGCUCCCUAUUUCCCUGCCACAUCCUGGGGUUUCGGGGUUGGAUGAGGAAGGAGGCGGUCAGAAAACCAGAUCUUUUUCUUCCCCCUCCAGAGCCCAGCUCUGGGGAUGGAGAAAGAAAUGAAAGUGCAGGGGUGGAUGCUGUAGAGAGAACAAGCCCCCUCCUCUCUAUUAACUAAGUCAUUGCUGGUGAAAUGUCCAAUCUCAGCCAAAUUCCCAAAGGAGAGUUACUGAUGCCCCAGCAGGAGACAUUUCCAGGAUCCCCUGAAUUUGGAGGGAACCCCCCCACCCCCGUGACACCCAGAACUCUGGCCCUGGAGCAGCAGGAGGGGGAGGUCAACGGAGGGCUGUGCCAGGGCUGAGGCCUCCCCAGGGUCCAGGACAGUGGGGGGCAUGACAGAGGUCUCCUCCGCUGCCGCACAUGCCCCAGCCUUGGUUCCAGCCCUGCCUCCUCUGAGCCAGUUCUGCGGGUACGGAGCUGAAGGAGACAGACUCUGGGCUCCCAGCAUCUAGGUCACUGGGGACUGUCAUAAAUACUUUCCCUUCCCCUCCUGGAAAGAGGAGGCUGGGCAGGCCGGAUCCGCUCUGGGGCCUGCGCCUUAUCUUUUAGGGGUUGGGGGGAUAUCUUGACAUUUUAUGGUCCAGCGAAAACCCUGCCACAGAGCUAUUCUUCCGGGCCUUUGUGUCUUGGAAUGCGACUGUCCCGAGUGUGCCGCCAGCACCGCCUGCUCCCACCAGUUCCGAAACCCCAGGCUGGACUUGGUUUCCCCUUUUGCGGGUGGGGUCCCUCGCCUUUUCUUUCUUUCGUUCAUUUGAUUGUUUUUUCUUUUACACGUAUCUGAGUGAUUUCGCUCCCGGAGCCUGGAAAUAAAGGAACGCAAGCAGCCAUCGUUGCUGGGGUGUCUCUGUCCCUCGCCCCGAGGCCCGCACCGCCCUCCUAGGUACCACGGAUUUAUGUUCGUUUGUCCGGGUCACUCUGCCUUUUCGUGUUAAUUACGCGCCGCCUGCUUCGUGCUUAUCUCCUCCGCAAAGCGAUUAUUUUCGACGCCCGCCCUCCUGAGCCUCCUGAGUCGGCUGCCAGAGCGAGGGCCCGUCUCCCGCCGCCACUCGCGAUUUAUUUACACCUCGCAGAACUGCCGCGAUUUCCCCCGCAUUCAGGCGCAUUUCUGGCCUCGGAACACCUCCGCGCCCGCAGAUGCACGCUCCGAAGCUCCCACGACCGCCUGCCCCCGGCGCGCACUCUAAAACUCCUCGGCCCUCUUACCCUGCUGCUGGCUCCGCAUCGCCUAUUCCGCCGCCGCCCGCAGGACUUUGGGGUGGGACUCUGACUUCUCCCGGCUGUUUGCCCCCUGGUUUGUAGCCCAUCCCUCUCUCUCACGCGCGCUCUCUCGCCACCUCUCCCUCCCAGCCAGUGAGGUCCUGUUCUCAGUGGGCCAUAGACAAAACAUUCCUAUAAUCCGAUUUCAAAGGAAAGAGUGUCCACCUUAUUUAAACCAUAAAACAAUUAAGCCCAGACGUCUAGCCAGCUCCGCGCUGCUGUUUUGUUCUGCCCCAUUCAGAAUCCAGCGCAGGGAGACAAACAGCGCCAUAAAAGUGGCAUUUCGGGACCGCGGAAAUGUACCUAUCCUCUGCCUUCCCAAGUGGAACAACCUUUAGGGUUUUGUGAUUCUGACAAAGGAGCAGAGGAGAGGUGGGAGGGGAAGAUUAGGGCGGGGUGGGGGGCGUUUGCCGGCCCCUCUCCCCCCGCCUCUUCCCCGGGCUUUCGCUGCUUUCCCCAGAUGUGUGUUGUGCUGUCGUGGCUUGGAGUCACAAAUGACAAUAAAUAAAAAUCGAAUCCAAUCCUGACCUGCAGGCUGGAGGCUGAGCUGGUACUGAACAGUGGGCUGGGCCGGGUGGGCCUGCUCUGGAUCCCACGCUCCGGCCAGGGCCCUCCUUUCAGAUCGGAGUAAGGCCGGCUUGGGCGGGCUGCAGGAAGCAGGCCGCGCUGACGGACCGACGAGGGGAGGCGACAGGGCCUCUGAGCAGGGGCGGGGUGGAGGCCCGGAAACGCCGCUGAGCCCGGCAGGGAGAACAGCCUGAGUACCGGCCGUCAGCACGGAGGGAGAGGGUGCCUUGUCCUCCGCCUGGUGCGGAACUGAGGCCUGGGUCCCAGAGCAGCAAAAUGGCCAAGGGGCGGAGUGAAGAAGCGAGAAAAGAGAGAAAACUACCGGCAAAGCACCUCUCAAAAGGACGGAGCGCAAACAAUCGCUUGUGGAUUGGGGCCGUUUCCUAAGCGGGAAAGAGGAAAGGGUGCUUCGGCAGCUGGGAAAACCAAACCAUUGCUUGCGACUUGUGAUUGUCCCCCUCAAAGUAUCAUCGACACAAAAUAGUCGCCCCUUCCCACCUUCCUCCUGCCCCCGAAACUGGAGUCUGUAAUAGAAGGAGGGGUAGGAGAUUCAAAUGAUGGGGAAGGGGCUGGUCCUGACAAGUGCCUCACCAAUCCCGUAAGGUGAUGCGAUGAGGGGAGCUGCACGGGUACUGGGGUCCCCAAUUCUUUUCUUCUACAGUGGUAUUCCCCAAGUAUUCAGAGCAACACCCUGCACCCUCGCCAGAAUGGGCAGCCUGAGAUAUUAAAGGGCUAUAUUUCAAGCAGUCUGAGUUUAAUAGUUUCCAGAUUGGGGGAUUUCCGAGAAAGGGGGCGCCGGGCUGAGGCAUACCCGGCAGCUCGAGUCUGCUUCUGAUUAGCAGAUGAAAACUGCCCGUUCUGGGGAAGGUGCUCUGGGGUGCUAGGCAGCUGCCCAGCCCCAUCGGGGCUGAUCCACAGCACACCCCACAUCCUUGCUCCUGAGGUCCCACCACCAUCAGAGAGCACCCCACUCCUGGCUAGUUCCUGACCAGCUUCCUUGGGUCCCAACUACACUACUCCCCCCCAAAUGCUGCAGCCGCUCAGCAUAACCCCAGUCACCCCCAGAUCAACAUUCAAAGUAAACACCAGAGAGAGAGAAAGAUGGAAUAGAAAAGAGAGAACUAGGCGAUGGGGAAGGGAGGAGGAUCUGAGAAUCCACUGAGAGGUAGAAAUGAAAUCUAAUUCUGAUCAUAUUGGUUUUGCCAUCUUCCUCCUCCCUCCCUCCCCCUCUCCCUUCCUUCCUGCCUCCUUUCUUCCCUCCCCACUUUCUCUCUCCCUGUCCCUCUCUCUGCAUCUUGCUUCUUUUACUCUCGCUGCAGUCCCCAGGGCCUGACCCGCUCCCUGAGGCCUGCUGGGCCUUCCUCCUCACUGUUCACCCCCCACCCUCCCUAGCACCACCCCCUCCACACACAUGCACCAAGCCAUCCCACGAAGCCCCUAUGCAGCCAGGCAGGACUCCAGCCCGGGCCCUCACCCAGCACCCAACUUUCAUCUUCACCUAUCUCUCCCCUGCGAUCUCGUGUACUCAUAAAUUAUUACAAUUAAUUACAGCCAGGGAAAACCAUUCAUGCCGUGCCCCCACCCCCCUCCCCGGCACCCCCUCCCGGGGGGGACUCCAUCCAGCUACCCGGAGACACACACAGGAGGCAGCCAGCCUGGGCAGGCACGAGCUGGAGCUGGACCCUGGACCCGGGCCUCAGCGGCCUCUACCGCACCCCAGAACCCUCACCCCAGUGACAGCCUGCCUGGAGAGCAGCAGUGGGCACUUGCCCUUCCGAUGUCCAGGGAGCCCCUUGCGGGGCUCCAGCCUCCCCCAAAGGAUCUGAGCACUUGCCUCCUCCAUGGACAGGAGCCACAGGGAGGAGAAAUAACGAGAACUGGAUGCAGUUGGGUUUCUGGUUUUUUAAGUGACUUCGAUAUAUUAACACAGAGCUGUUCUACCAUAACAAACAGAAGCACGUUACAGGACGGACUCUGGGGAUGAGAGGAGACACUGCUAUGUACACGCCCGAGGCGCCGGCCUGCGCCGCCGGACCCAGCCUGCGGCACGGUCCCCGGCCCUCGCCCCUCAGCUCCUGGGCUGGAAGCAUUCUUGUGUAUGUAUGUGUGUCUUUUUUUUUUUUUUUUGUACAAAAUCUGCACGCAGAGCACCCCAGGCCUGGGGAGGGAUGGCCCGGGCCAAAUACGAUACAGGAAAAAAAAAUAGAAAUAUAGCGAUUCAAGUACUGGCUUCUCUGAAGAAAGGAGAAAAAAAUCACAUUUGUGUGUGUCAUUUAUUUCAGUUGCGCUGGGAGAAGAGAACGCG